rnacentral:rRNA from 1 species
ACGAACGCGGGGGGCGUGCCUAAUACAUGCAAGUCGAGGGAAUUUUUAGGAGCUUGCUCCUAUUGGUUAGCGGCGGACGGGUGAGUAACACGUGGGCAACCUGCCUGUAAGACUGGGAUAACACCGGGAAACCGGUGCUAAUACCGGAUAAUCCUUUUCCUCACAUGAGGAAAAGCUGAAAGACGGUUUCGGCUGUCACUUACAGAUGGGCCCGCGGCGCAUUAGCUAGUUGGUGAGGUAACGGCUCACCAAGGCGACGAUGCGUAGCCG